rnacentral:rRNA from 1 species
GUUUGACCUCAAAUCAGGUAGGAGUACCCGCUGAACUUAAGCAUAUCAAUAAGCGGAGAGAA